rnacentral:rRNA from 1 species
GCGAAAACUUUACAAUGCCGGCAACGGCGAUAAGGGGACCUCGAGUGCCAGGUUACAAAUCUGGCUGUCGAGAUGCCUAAAAAGCAUUUCAUAGCAAGGGCCGGGCAAGACCGGUGCCAGCCGCCGCGGUAACACCGGCGGCUCGAGUGGUAACCGUUAUUAUUGGGUCUAAAGGGUCUGUAGCCGGCCGGAUAAGUCUCUUGAGAAAUCUGGCAGCUUAACUGUCAGGCUUUCAGGAGAUACUGUCUGGCUGGAGGCCGGGAGAGGUGAGAGGUACUUCAGGGGUAGGGGUGAAAUCUUGUAAUCCUUGAAGGACCGCCAGUGGCGAAGGCGUCUCACCAGAACGGACCUGACGGCAAGGGACGAAAGCUAGGGGCACGAACC